GUUUUAAUGCAUAGAUCAUGGUCCUGUGGCCCCAUUGCUCAAUUCUCUGCCAUGUAGGAGUAAAAUCACCUUUGUUUCUGUUUCUGCAACCCUAGUUAAUUCUCCCAUGAGUGUGACUCACACAGCCUAUAUGGAAAAAGUUUUAUUUUCAAUCAUAUCUGACAGCACAGUGUGUUUAUUUUAGAAGUUUUUAUCUCUUGCUCUGUUAUUUGAAUGUUAAUCACACACAGGAGGCUCUUGCAG